GCAAAAAUGUUGUUUAUGUUUUUCUCGCGUAGUGAGUUGUUUUCUUCGCGCUGUUCAAAAUCGUUUCGAAAAUUAAAGAAUACCAUUGGCACAAAUCGGACUCAAUAUCAAAUCAACUACGAGGAUUGCACCAGACUGACCGCGAAUCCCGAUGGUAGAACGACAAAAAAAUGCUUCCUCUUUCUAUCGUGACACUGGGAGCGUUUUUACGAACACCGGUUGUAUGGCAUGAAAUUCUUAUCAAUCCAGCGGGACAUCAAACAAGCCCGGAACACACAGAAGUUAUGUAGCUGCCCAAUCAAAAGGAAGAGUUACGACACGACGUUUGUUAUUCCCCUAGGAAGAUUCCGCCACGGGGCAAGCAAGAUUCCCAUAGUUAUCAUAAUUUGUGUUGCCUGCCUUAUUAUGAUUUUGAAGAAGAAUUAGGAAAUGCCUCGAGUUUUCAUUCAAUCUCAAGAAUCGAAAUCCUGCAUCGAAUUGAAUCGAAAUAUUCUCUUAUAAACAACAUGCGAAUUGAUCGGCCAGGGCUACAAAAAUUAUGUCGAUGGUUCUUUAACUGGGUGAGC